rnacentral:lncRNA from 1 species
GCAGAUGUUGUGACCUCACUUUGCCUGUAUGGCUGCGUAAAAUCUGGAUAGGUGUCCUACCGCAGAGAUGUUGGUGUAUGUGUAUGCUGCAUUGUGCACAAUGUUGGGAAAUGAAGCCAGCCCAGAGCCCUGUGGGAAGCUGACUAGAUAUGGCCCAUAUACACAGUGGCAUCUUAUUCACCCUGUCCUUUUCAAAGGGUUCACACGAUGGAGCAAGAGCAGAAUGAAGCAAGUCCCGGCUUUAUCACCUUUGGAAGACACAGGUCUCCUGGUGAAGCUCCCCCAUAGACCUUCUCUCAGAGCUCUUCCUUCUGUGGUGCUGAUGCUGACAGAAACAAGACAGGAGGCCCCAAGGGCUCAUGGAUCGGUCUAG